rnacentral:lncRNA from 1 species
UAGAAAAAAAUUAUUCUUACACAUAAAUUUCACGGAAGUUUACCAAGAGAAGGUAGUAUAAUUGUUUCACAACCAUAUAGUUUUUUUUUCGUUCUUAAAAUACGCAACUGCGGCCUGGAUGAAGAUACGCAUCUGUGGAAUAGAGGUGGCGGCUGCAACCACUUGGCCACUGAUUUGACAGGAGACAGCAGCUAGCCCGCUAGCCUGUGAACAGCGUGGUUCCAAGUUCGAACCUUGUUGCUGCACUCGCGCUGUACGAAUGUCAGGGUUUCACAUUGUCGAGUUCCGAAGUGAAAAGAGCACGUAUGUUGUUCCCACAAAUUGGGUGACUCAUACAAAGCGACAUGUGAUGUGCUUUUGGCCUCCAACUGACCUGCAAAGCGAAGUGGAUCGCUUGGUGCGGUCAAUGACUCCAGCAGGAGAUGACUGGCCAAUGUAUAAGGCCAGGAUUCUUGGC